rnacentral:rRNA from 1 species
GAUGAACGCUGGCGGCGUGCCUAAUACAUGCAAGUCGAGCGAAUGGAUUAAGAGCUUGCUCUUAUGAAGUUAGCGGCGGACGGGUGAGUAACACGUGGGUAACCUGCCCAUAAGACUGGGAUAACUCCGGGAAACCGGGGCUAAUACCGGAUAAUAUUUUGAACUGCACGGUUCAAAAUUGAAAGGCGGCUUCGGCUGUCACUUAUGGAUGGACCCGCGUCGCAUUAGCUAGUUGGUGAGGUAACGGCUAACCAAGGCAACGAUGCGUAGCCGACCUGAGAGGGUGAUCGGCCACACUGGGACUGAGACACGGCCCAGACUCCUACGGGAGGCAGCAGUAGGGAAUCUUCCGCAAUGGACGAAAGUCUGACGGAGCAACGCCGCGUAAGUGAUGAAGGCUUUCGGGUCGUAAAACUCUGUUGUUAGGGAAGAACAAGUGCUAGUUGAAUAAGCUGACACCUUGACGGUACCUAACCAGAAAGCCACGGCUAACUACGUGCCAGCCGCCGCGGUAA